GUUAAGGUAGCUUAAAUGCAAAGCAAAGCACUGAAAAUGCUUAGAUGGAUUAUCAAUAAUCCCAUAAACA
rnacentral:tRNA from 1 species